rnacentral:ncRNA from 1 species
UUGGUGUUGCCACGUUGAGGUGUCCCGUGCGAAGGGCUCAGCGUGGUGAUGAUGGGCACGAUCCGCUUUUAGCCGGGUUAGCCGUUCAGUGAUCGGCGUCCGAGAGUUGCCGCUCUCGGGCGCCGUUG